rnacentral:tRNA from 2 species
AUUUAAAUAGCUUAAUUAGAAGAGCAUAACGUUGAAGGUGUUAAAGUGGUAUUUUUACCUUUAAAUA